rnacentral:rRNA from 1 species
AACGAACGCUGGCGGCAUGCCUAACACAUGCAAGUCGAACGAGACCUUCGGGUCUAGUGGCGCACGGGUGCGUAACGCGUGGGAACCUGCCCUUAGGUUCGGAAUAACUCCCCGAAAGGGGUGCUAAUACCGGAUAAUGUCUUCGGACCAAAGAUUUAUCGCCUUUGGAUGGGCCCGCGUUGGAUUAGCUAGUUGGUAGGGUAAAAGCCUACCAAGGCGACGAUCCAUAGCUGGUCUGAGAGGAUGAUCAGCCACACUGGCACUGAGACACGGCCCAGACUCCUACGGGAGGCAGCAGUGGGGAAUAUUGGACACUGGGCGAAAGCCUGAUCCAGCAAUGCCGCGUGAGUGAUGAAGGCCUUAGUGUUGUAAAGCUCUUUUACCCGAGAUGAUAAUGACAGUACCGGGAGAAGAAGCACCGGCUAACUCCGUG